rnacentral:rRNA from 1 species
AUUGAACGCUGGCGGCAGGCCUAACACAUGCAAGUCGAGCGCGCGGCGGACGGGUGAGUAAUGUCUGGGAAACUGCCUGAUGGAGGGGGGUAACUACUGGAAACGGUAUCUAAUACCGCAUACCAUCAGAUGUGCCCAGAGGGGAUUAGCUCGUGGGUGGGGUAACGGCUCACCUAGGCGACGAUCCCUCGCUGGUCUGAGAGGAUGACCAGCCACACUGGAACUGAGACACGGUCCAGACUCCUACGGGAGGCAGCAGUGGGGAAUAUUGCACAAUGGGCGCAAGCCUGAUGCAGCCAUGCCGCGUGUGUGAAGAAGGCCUUCGGGUUGUAAAGCACUUUCAGCGGGGAGGCGUUACCCGCAGAAGAAGCACCGGCUAACUCCGUGCCAGCAGCCGCGGUAAUUC